rnacentral:rRNA from 1 species
AACGAACGCUGGCGGCAUGCCUAACACAUGCAAGUCGAACGAUAAGCUACCUUCGGGUAGUGGACAGUGGCGGACGGGUGAGUAACACGUGGGAACCUGCCCUUUGGUACGGAAUAACGUUGGGAAACGAACGCUAAUACCGUAUACGCACUUUGGUGGAAAGAUUUAUCGCCGAAGGAUGGGCCCGCGCUAGAUUAGAUAGUUGGUGGGGUAAUGGCCUACCAAGUCUACGAUCUAUAGCUGGUUUGAGAGGAUGAUCAGCCACACUGGGACUGAGACACGGCCCAG